GAUGAAGAACGCAGCGAAAUGCGAUACGUAGUGUGAAUUGCAGAAUUCAGUGAAUCAUCGAAUCUUUGAACUCACAUUGCACCUCUCGGUAUUCCGGGAGGUAUGCCUGUUCGAGCGUCAUUUGUACCCUCAAGCUCUGCUUGGUGUUGGGUGUUUGUUCCGCCUCUGUGUGUGAACUCGCCUCAAAACAAUUGGCAGCCGGCGUACUUGUUUCGGAGCGCAGCACAUUUUGCGAUCCAGAUCAACGUACAGCGGCAUCCAAGAAGCCUUAUUUAACGCUCUUGACCUCGGAUCAGGUAGGGAUACCCGCUGAACUUAAGCAUAUCAAUAAGCGGAGGA
rnacentral:misc_RNA from 1 species